rnacentral:rRNA from 1 species
GUUAUAUGGUCAAGCGAAUAAGCGCACACGGUGGAUGCCUUGGCGGUCAGAGGCGAUGAAGGACGUGGCAGCCUGCGAAAAGUUCCGGGGAGUCGGCAACAGACAUUGAUCCGGAAAUGUCCGAAUGGGGAAACCCACUCCGUAAGGAGUACUGUGCACUGAAUACAUAGGUGUCCAGAGCGAACCCAGGGAACUGAAAUAUCUCAGUACCUGGAGGAAAAGAAAUCAACCGAGAUUCCCCUAGUAGUGACGAGCGAACGGGGAGCAGCCCAAAAGU